rnacentral:rRNA from 1 species
AUGGCAGCCAAAGCAAUUUCAGCAGUAAAGGCCCUUUAUAUAAACUCGGCGAUUCUUGCCGCAAGAAGUCCUUUCUUUCAAAAGCUUUUCACAAAUGGGAUGAAAGAAUCUGAUGAGUCACAUCCAAGAAUUAGGAUUGCUGAUUCAGAAGAAAAUUCCCUUAUGGAGCUUAUAAGAUUCAUGUACAGUGGAAAGCUGACAACAAUUGAGCCCACUCUUCUGCUCGACAUCUUAAUGGCUGCUGACAAAUUUGAGGUUCCUGCUUGCAUGAGGUACUGCACUCAGUUACUCAUAAGCCGGCCUAUGACCACAGAAUGUGCACUGCUAUUCCUAGGCCAUCCAUGCUCCAUUUUAAUGGCUGCUGAAGUUCAGAGUUUAGUACGUGCAGCGAAGGGAUUCCUUGCCAAUAAAUACAAGGAUUUUGAUAAGUUCCAAGAUGAACUGAUGAACAUCUCUCUUGUUGGAAUCGAAGCCAUCUUUUCGAGCAGUGACCUACACGUGUUAUGUGAAGAUGUGGUUUAUUACUUCUUGCUCAAGUGGGCCCGUGUGCGAUACUAUUAUUCGGAGGAGGAAAGACGCAAGGUCUUGAGUUAUCGCUUACUUCCACUGGUACGCUUCAGUAAUAUGAGCUGUGAUGCACUGCAGAAGGUCCUAAGAUGUGAAGAUGUUGAUAUAGACCAUGAGUACUUAACUAAGCAUAUUGCUGAGGUACUUCUACACAAAGCAUACCCAAACCAGAUGGAAGCUGCUCUUGCAGCAAACGGGACAACAUGUUGGCAAUUUGCUGAGCGAGCUUACGACUUCAAACUUGUGAGAGUGAUUGCUUUUAAUCAACCCUGCCCACAGGUUACAGUUUACAUGGAUCUAAAGCGUGAUGAGUGUUCCCGACUCUUCCCAUCAGGAGGUAUAUGCUCGCAAAUGUUCCAUCUCGCAGGGCACAAAUUCUAUCUCUUGGCAAACUGUAAAAUGGUUGAGCAGGCAACAUCGUACAGCUUUGCCCUAUCAUUACAUAUUUUUGAUGAGCCGGCAGGCUCAAUAUGUUUAGAUAUUGAGUUUGCUGCAAGGACAAAGCCGUUAGGAAAAUUUGUGAGCAAGUACGGAUAUAAGAACACCAUGACUGGUGAUCGGUCGCAGGGAUGCGGUGAUCUUUUCGGAAUGCCAUGGUCGACGUUCAUUGCUGAUGACAGCCUCUUCAUUGAUGGUGUGCUAUAUCUGAGAGCCGACUUGACUCUGGUGGUGCAGCCUGAAUUACAGACCUGA